UCUCAUAGUGAUUUUGAGUUUUGGUGAAUUUUUGUGCUUUGUAACUGUUGGUGAAAGUGUAUUUCAUCACUUGAAACUUGUAUGCAUUGUUGGAUUGACCUUAUUCUAGCCUUUGUACAACAUCAUCAUCUAUACCGUUGCAUUUACUGAAAUUCACCACUGUACUAGUGAUUUUCUGUGCUGAUAAGUUUCUUUGCUGUUUUAUNGGCUACACAUAUCACAAUUGGUGAUAUAAACUUGUUUGAAGUGUUAGCUACACAUUUGAAUCAUUGCAUUUCAAAUUGACCACUGCUGUUCCAGUUUUCCAGCCACCAAUUUAGUGCAAUUUUAGCCAUUUUUUUUACUGCAUAAUUUGGUAAUUACUAUACUAUUUUGAGAUUCUGUGGCUGUAGGUGCAUUCUCUUUGUUUCAGCAAGUUUAUUUGGUCAAUUACAGCCUUUGCUUACUGCUCAUUUGGUCACCUUUGCACCAUUUCACCAACUCACACCUUAAAGCCGUGACUUUGCUCUAACUGAGGAAGUGAGCUUAUCAUAUUCGGUUGUAGUCACCUUCUUUACUGUUUAAGUGUUUAAACAUGUUACAUUUGAUGAAAUAAGUUUGCUUGAAGCCUUAAUUACACCU
rnacentral:lncRNA from 1 species